UGAGGAAUAUUGCGCAAUGGAGGAAACUCUGACGCAGCCAUACCGCGUGUAGGAAGAAUGUCCUAUGGAUUGUAAACUACUUUUAUACAAGAAGAAACCCCAGUAUGUAUACUGGGCUGACGGUAUUGUAAGAAUAAGCACCGGCUAACUCCGUGCCAGCAGCCGCGGUAAUACGGAGGGUGCAAGCGUUAUCCGGAUUUAUUGGGUUUAAAGGGUCCGCAGGCGGGAUUUUAAGUCAGUGGUGAAAGCCUACAGCUUAACUGUAGAACUGCCAUUGAUACUGGAAUUCUUGAGUGUGGUUGAAGUAAACGGAAUAUGUCAUGUAGCGGUGAAAUGCAUAGAUAUGACAUAGAACACCAAUUGCGUAGGCAGUUUACUAAACCAUUACUGACGCUCAUGGACGAAAGUGUGGGGAGCGAACAGG
rnacentral:rRNA from 1 species